rnacentral:rRNA from 1 species
UAUACAUGCAAGUCGAGCGAACAGAUAAGGAGCUUGCUCCUUUGACGUUAGCGGCGGACGGGUGAGUAACACGUGGGUAACCUACCUAUAAGACUGGAAUAACUCCGGGAAACCGGGGCUAAUGCCGGAUAACAUUUAGAACCGCAUGGUUCUAAAGUGAAAGAUGGUUUUGCUAUCACUUAUAGAUGGACCCGCGCCGUAUUAGCUAGUUGGUAAGGUAAUGGCUUACCAAGGCAACGAUACGUAGCCGACCUGAGAGGGUGAUCGGCCACACUGGAACUGAGACACGGUCCAGACUCCUACGGGAGGCAGCAGUAGGAAUCUCUCUCGGGUGGCAUGGGAAGGUGCAACGCCGCGGACCGUGAUGAAGGGUUUCGGCUCGUAAAACUCUGUUAUUAGGGAAGAACAAACGUGUAAGUAACUGUGCACGUCUUGACGGUACCUAAUCAGAAAGCCACGGCUAACUACGUGCCAGCAGCCGCGGUAAUACGUAGGUGGCAAGCGUUAUCCGGAAUUAUUGGGCGUAAAGCGCGCGUAGGCGGUUUCUUAAGUCUGAUGUGAAAGCCCACGGCUCAACCGUGGAGGGUCAUUGGAAACUGGGAGACUUGAGUGCAGAAGAGGAAAGUGGAAUUCCAUGUGUAGCGGUGAAAUGCGCAGAGAUAUGGAGGAACACCAGUGGCGAAGGCGACUUUCUGGUCUGUAACUGACGCUGAUGUGCGAAAGCGUGGGGAUCAAACAGGAUUAGAUACC